AGGGAUGUAGCGCAGCUUGGUAGCGCGUUUGUUUUGGGUACAAAAUGUCACGGGUUCACCUUCUUUCAUCAAUA
rnacentral:tRNA from 1 species